UCGAACGGUAACAGGUCCUUCGGGAUGCUGACGAGUGGCGGACGGGUGAGUAAUGCAUGAGAAUCUGCCUAGUAGUGGGGGACGACUUAGGGAAACUUAAGCUAAUACCGCAUACGCCUACGGGGGAAGCGGGGGAUCGUAAGACCUCGCGCUAUUAGAUGAGCUCAUGUCCGAUUAGCUUGUUGGUAGGGUAAAAGCCUACCAAGGUGACGAUCGGUAGCUGGUCUGAGAGGACGAUCAGCCACACUGGGACUGAGACACGGCCCAGACUCC
rnacentral:rRNA from 1 species